rnacentral:rRNA from 1 species
UACGUAGGGGGCAAGCGUUGUCCGGAAUCAUUGGGCGUAAAGAGCGUGUAGGCGGCUCGAUAAGUCUGCUGUGAAAGUCCAGGGCUCAACCCUGGAAGGCCGGUGGAAACUGUCGGGCUAGAGUUCGGAAGAGGCGAGUGGAAUUCCCGGUGUAGCGGUGAAAUGCGCAGAUAUCGGGAGGAACACCAAUGGCGAAGGCAGCUCGCUGGGACGUUACUGACGCUGAGACGCGAAAGCGUGGGGAGCAAACAGGG